rnacentral:rRNA from 1 species
UAUCAAUAAGCGGAGGAAAAGAAACCAACAGGGAUUGCCUCAGUAACGGCGAGUGAAGCGGCAACAGCUCAAAUUUGAAAUCUGGCGUCUUCGGCGUCCGAGUUGUAAUUUGUAGAGGAUGCUUCUGGGUUGUCAUCGGUUUAAGUUCCCUGGAACGGGACGUCAUAGAGGGUGAGAAUCCCGUGUGUGACCGACUGACUCCCUCUACGUAGCUCCUUCGACGAGUCGAGUUGUUUGGGAAUGCAGCUCUAAAUGGGAGGUAAAUUUCUUCUAAAGCUAAAUAUCUGCCAGAGACCGAUAGCGCACAAGUAGAGUGAUCGAAAGAUGAAAAGCACUUUGGAAAGAGAGUUAAAAAGCACGUGAAAUUGUUGAAAGGGAAGCGUUUGCAAUCAGACUUGUCUGCGGCGUUCAACCGGUUUUCUAACCGGUCUACUCGUCGUAAGCAGGCCAGCAUCACUUGGUGCCGCGGGAUAAUAACUUUGGAAUGUGGCUCCUCGGAGUGUUAUAGCCAAUGUUGAUGCCGCGCGCGCCGAGUGAGG